UGAAUUUUGCCACAUCUGAUAGCAUCUGCCGCUUCCAACAAGGACAAUGCCUUCUACAGUACAAGAUGCCCAGAAUGAUGACAGGAACACCAAGAUGUAAUUAGUUGACAGAAGAUGCAAAGAACAAGGCUGCAUGCACAAGGAAGGAAGGAGGCAGCUUUUUGCUGUACUUCAAGGCUGCAUAUGGAUGCGUCCUUACAUUAUUUGUUGUACUUAUUCCUAUUCAAAAUCCUGAGAUCAACUCAUUGGUUCAAAUUGCUGAAAGCUCUUUAUUUGUUUUACUUGGUUCAUACAGUGCCA